rnacentral:tRNA from 1 species
CGGGGCGUAGCGCAGCUUGGUAGCGCACCUGCCUUGGGCGCAGGGGGUCGUAGGUUCAAAUCCUGUCGCCCCGACCA